UACAGAGGGUGCGAGCGUUGUCCGGAAUCACUGGGCGUAAAGGGCGCGUAGGCGGUUCGCUAAGCGUGCGGUGAAAGCUCGGGGCUCAACCCCGAGUCGGCCGUGCGAACUGGUGGACUCGAGCACUGUAGAGGCAGAUGGAAUUCCGGGUGUAGCGGUGGAAUGCGUAGAGAUCCGGAAGAACACCGGUGGCGAAGGCGGUCUGCUGGGCAGUGGCUGACGCUGAGGCGCGACAGCGUGGGGAGCAAACAGG
rnacentral:rRNA from 1 species